GACGAACGCUGGCGGCGUGCUUAACACAUGCAAGUCGAACGGAAAGGCCUCUUUCGGGGGGUACUCGAGUGGCGAACGGGUGAGUAACACGUGAGUAACCUGCCCUUGACUUUGGGAUAACUUCAGGAAACUGGGGCUAAUACCGGAUAGGAGCUCCUGCUGCAUGGUGGGGGUUGGAAAGUUUCGGCGGUUGGGGAUGGACUCGCGGCUUAUCAGCUUGUUGGUGGGGUAGUGGCUUACCAAGGCUUUGACGGGUAGCCGGCCUGAGAGGGUGACCGGCCACAUUGGGACUGAGAUACGGCACAGACGCCUACGGGAGGAAGCAGUGGGGAAUAUUGCACAAUGGGUGGAAGCCUGAUGCAGCAACGCCGUGUGCGGGAUGACGGCCUUCGGGUUGUAAACCGCUUUCGCUCAUGACGAAGCUUUGUGUGACGGUAGUGGGUAAAGAAGCACCGGCUAACUACGUG
rnacentral:rRNA from 1 species